UUGGUCUUAUGUACUUGAGUGGCAGUGGGCUAAACUUGUUCUGCUUUAGAAAAUCGUACAAGUUCUGCUCCAACAUCUCAAACACAAGGCAGGAGGGGUGGUUCUUCAAGAUCUUAAUGGCCACAAUUUCCUUGGUGCUCCGCUUCCAGCACUUUGCCACCUGUCCAAAUGUCCCCCGGCCUAGGAACUCCAGGACUUCAUAGCUGUUGGUCAUAGAGCAAAGGAUCUCAUGCUGGACCAGCUGCAAAGAAACGUUGCUCCUGUGAGUCAGGGUCUGGCUGCUUUGGAAGGUUGCUGUAGCGGCGCUGCCUGAGCUAUCAGCAGCUGUUACCACAAUAUGCUCCACGGCAGGAGCUGGGAGAAGGAGGCCCUGGUCGUAAGCAGGAAGAUUGAAAUUUGCUACCUGAAGGCACUCGACGACACUGAUGGGGGCGAAAACACCUGCAGCUGUGAGGCCAUACCUACACGGAGAGAAGGAAGAAUGAGACCACAGGGCUCACGAUGCGAAGCUCACCAACAGCUCAUGUGAGAACAGGUGUAGCUGAUAAGACCACACUGUACUGUCUCCC
ensembl:antisense Gm15886 predicted gene 15886